GUGGGGAAUUUUGGACAAUGGGCGCAAGCCUGAUCCAGCAAUGCCGCGUGCAGGAAGAAGGCCUUCGGGUUGUAAACUGCUUUUGUACGGAACGAAACGGUCCGGGUUAAUACCCUGGGCUAAUGACGGUACCGUAAGAAUAAGCACCGGCUAACUACGUGCCAGCAGCCGCGGUAAUACGUAGGGUGCAAGCGUUAAUCGGAAUUACUGGGCGUAAAGCGUGCGCAGGCGGUUUUGUAAGACAGAGGUGAAAUCCCCGGGCUCAACCUGGGAAUUGCCUUUGUGACUGCAAGGCUGGAGUGCGGCAGAGGGGGAUGGAAUUCCGCGUGUAGCAGUGAAAUGCGUAGAUAUGCGGAGGAACACCGAUGGCGAAGGCAAUCCCCUGGGCCUGCACUGACGCUCAUGCACGAAAGCGUGGGGAGCAAACAGGAUUAGAAACCCCGGUAGUCC
rnacentral:rRNA from 1 species